rnacentral:rRNA from 1 species
UACGGAGGGUGCGAGCGUUGUCCGGAUUUAUUGGGUUUAAAGGGUGCGUAGGUGGGUUAAUAAGUCAGUGGUGAAAUACGGUUGCUCAACAAUCGAGGUGCCAUUGAUACUGUUAAUCUUGAAACAAGUGGAGGUUGCCGGAAUGGAUGGUGUAGCGGUGAAAUGCAUAGAUAUCGGAAGGAACACCAGUGGCGAAGGCGGCUUCCUGGCCUGCAACUGACGCUGAGACGCGAAAGCGUGGGGAGCAAACAGG